UGUUAGCAGCUAAUGUUAGCAGCUCUGUCUGGACUCUUGUUGGAUUUUAGCCUGAAGUUUACACUCCAGAAAUCCAAUAAAAACUCUCUGUUGUUGUUCUUAUGAGGUGAUUAGCUCAAAAAAAUCCCUGGAUAAAAGUUUUUAAAACUGGUGGGAGAAAAGCUCCACCCAGAGGUUUCUGUGUUGUUCAUCCCAUUCUACAGGUGUUGUGUUUAAAACUGUAAUUUUGCCUCGAAACUAAAGUCGUGCUGGUAUUGUGAAUUAAUUUAAAUGUGAAUUAAUAACAUUUCUGACAUAAUUACACUAUGAAUUCCAUAAUUAAAAAUCAGCUUUUAUUCAAGUAGUUUGUGAAACAAUUUGGUUCAAAAUGAUAAAAUGUAUUCUAAAUAUACCAAACUUGUUUUCCUUUUUUUUUUUAAAAAAAAAAAGGACAGAAAAACAUGUUUUUCUCUGUCUUUCCGUUUGAUCCUGUGGUAACGUGGUGUCAGCCGGCUGAUUACUGUAGGAAAUAAAACAAUAUUUCUGAUUUAAAUCGAUGACAACAGCUCUCUGGUGAAGCAAUCACAAUAAUGUAUAUAAACUAUUUCUCUACAGAAUAAAAAAUAAAAUGACAAACUAAUGUAAAAAUCAGUUUUAUCUUUCCUCAUUAACAGAUGAAUCUUUUGGGGCGAUUCCACCGUCUCUCCGUCUCUUCUGCCCCGGCGCAGCAGACCAUUAGUUAUGUAAUGACGGGUAAACAUUUUAGACAAUUACAAGGCAAACAGACAAACGAUCAAUGCCUUUCAGCCUCAAGAAAUAUGAGCCGCCUGUGGACGAGGAUCCCAGCACCUCCACUGAUGAGUCGGAAAAAACAAAACAGGAAAGAAAAAAAAAGAAAAAACAAAACCCAGUUCCUGUAAGGGAUAAAAAAAGAAGGACGAGAAAAGGCUUCAAAUAGAAGAGGAGAGGUUUGUGUGUGUGUGUGUGUGUGUGUGUGUGUAGGUAAACAUGCAAAGUGGAAGACAUUUGGAGGAGAUAUGUGAAGGGAAAAAAAAGUGAGCGAGAGAGGUUGAGAGAGAGAGAGAGAGAGCGAGGCACUAAGAGCCGGUCGUUGCUCAGUGAAGACUAAUGCAAUUUCACCAAUAAGAGUUUCUCCGUAGAGAUUGUAAAAACAAAAAAAGAGGGAGUGAAAGACGAGAGGCAGGGAAGGAGAAAAGAAAGGAGGGAGUGAGUGAGGGAGGAGAGGAGAGAGAGGGAGGGAAGGAGGAGGAGGAGGAGGAAGAGGAGGAGGAGGAGGAGGAGAACUGCGUCCUUUCAGACUCUCAUAUGGACAGUGGAUCUCAUGGGACAACUGCCUGAAAGUCUCUCUCUGUCUCCACUCUUCCACUCCUCGCUCCGCUGCCCUCCACAGUGAUUUAUCAGCUGAACAGAGGAGCAGAGGCAGAGGCAGAGCCACGGAGGGGCGCAGACCACUUCAGGGACAGGGAGGCUUGGUCCUACCAGCCAGCCAGCCAGCCAGUCAGUCAGCCAGUCAGCCAGCCGGGUGGGUCAAGUCCACAUCUCCAACGUCUGACCUCUGUGGGAACGCAGCUUUUCUUACUCCUCGUCACAGACUGUGGGAAAAAGAAAAAGGACGACUGUUUUUUUUUGUGGUUUUUUUUUGGUUUUGUUUUUUUUUUUUUUUUUUUGCCCAGGACGUGACAGGGCAGCUCUGGCACGAGGACCUCGGUGGGAGAGCCGUGCUGUCACCACUGUAAUGCCCUGAAUUAUUCUUGGAUGUGAAACGGCACAUUUGGCCCAGUCGGGUUGACAUUCAGGCGGUUGGGCAGUUGUCCGUCCAGUCAUUAGGGAGAGUCAGAUGGUUACUGAGUGAGUCAGUAAACUGGUCAGUCGGUCGGGUCCUUCCCACAGGGUCAACUUUUCCAUAUCCUCAUCUGAACUCUGAGCUGACUCACUUCUACUGAGUGGAGGAUUUGUGAGCACGGUCACAGGUGCUUCACAGCUGCUGCUGCUGCUGCUGCUGCCGUGGACGGAAAAUCAUCUGGAGCCCAGGAGGAUGCUGGGAGAAGAUACAAAGGGCAGGGAAGGGCAGGGAAGGGAACAUGCAGCCUCUGGGCCGGCUGUGGUGGGGAGGGUUCCUGGCACGGUGAUUUGAUGCACAAAAAGAAACAAAAAUCACAUUGCCAGGGAUUUCCACUCCUUCACAGCUCAGCAGAAGAGACGCUAACAACCUCGUGUUUCCACGGAACAACACCUUUUUUUUUUUUUUUUUUACUGGUCUC